rnacentral:rRNA from 1 species
UACGAAGGGGGCUAGCGUUGCUCGGAAUCACUGGGCGUAAAGGGUGCGUAGGCGGGGCUUUAAGUCAGGGGUGAAAUCCUGGAGCUCAACUCCAGAACUGCCUUUGAUACUGAGGAUCUUGAGUUCGGGAGAGGUGAGUGGAGCUGCGAGUGUAGAGGUGAAAUUCGUAGAUAUUCGCAAGAACACCAGUGGCGAAGGCGGCUCACUGGCCCGAUACUGACGCUGAGGCACGAAAGCGUGGGGAGCAAACAGG